rnacentral:rRNA from 1 species
AUUGAACGCUGGCGGCAUGCUUUACACAUGCAAGUCGAACGGUAACAGGCCGCAAGGUGCUGACGAGUGGCGAACGGGUGAGUAAUGCAUCGGAACGUGCCCAGUCGUGGGGGAUAACUACUCGAAAGAGUAGCUAAUACCGCAUACGAACUAUGGAUGAAAGCGGGGGACCGUAAGGCCUCGCGCGAUUGGAGCGGCCGAUGUCAGAUUAGGUAGUUGGUGGGGUAAAGGCUCACCAAGCCAACGAUCUGUAGCUGGUCUGAGAGGUCGACCAGCCACACUGGGACUGAGACACGGCCCAGACUCCUACGGGAGGCAGCAGUGGGGAAGUUUGGACAAUGGGCGCAAGCCUGAUCCAGCAAUGCCGCGUGCAGGAAGAAGGCCUUCGGGUUGUAAACUGCUUUUGUACGGAACGAAACGGCUCUGGUUAAUACCCGGGGCUAAUGACGGUACCGUAAGAAUAAGCACCGGCUAACUACGUG